GAUGAACGCUGGCGGCGUGCCUAAUACAUGCAAGUCGAGCGAACAGACGAGGAGCUUGCUCCUCUGACGUUAGCGGCGGACGGGUGAGUAACACGUGGAUAACCUACCUAUAAGACUGGGAUAACUUCGGGAAACCGGAGCUAAUACCGGAUAAUAUAUUGAACCGCAUGGUUCAACAGUGAAAGACGGUUUUGCUGUCACUUAUAGAUGGAUCCGCGCCGCAUUAGCUAGUUGGUAAGGUAACGGCUUACCAAGGCAACGAUGCGUAGCCGACCUGAGAGGGUGAUCGGCCACACUGGAGCUGAGACACGGUCCAGACUCCUACGGGAGGCAGCAGUAGGGAAUCUUCCGCAAUGGGCGAAAGCCUGACGGAGCAACGCCGCGUGAGUGAUGAAGGUCUUCGGAUCGUAAAACUCUGUUAUUAGGGAAGAACAAAUGUGUAAGUAACUAUGCACGUCUUGACGGUACCUAAUCAGAAAGCCACGGCUAACUACGUG
rnacentral:rRNA from 1 species